CCCUAUCUGCGUCUGUUGAGUGUCCUGAACCAGCAGACCACUGUGCUAAUCCUCUGAGAAGUUCUUCCUGUGAAAAGGCGAGGGAGAGGCAAUCUGACCUCAUCCUCAUCCCACAGUGCUUCAGACAAAACUGCCUUUUGGGCCCCUCCCAAGCAGUGGCACUGACCUGCUGACAGCAGCCGUGGUGGGGGCAGCAGGCAGGCUGGUGCAGCUGGGUCUGGGACAGCCAAAGAGUUUUGAUUAGGACGACCAGAACAGUGGUUGAACCCCCAGUUCCUUUCCCAGACACAAAGCCGGGAGCUAGCAGCUGGGCGCCGGCAGGUGCUCAUAUGGGAUGCUGGUGUCACAAGUGAAGACGUAAACCUCUCUGCCAAGAUGCCAUCCCAAAACGCCAUUGACGACUCUUCUGCAUCUACCCAAAAAUAGGUCACCUCUUCUGUUUCUUGUUUGAUUUUUUUACAGACAGCAGAAGUGAUAGUUGCAUCAGAACUGUGGUCUGGUUCCUGAUUCUGUACUCUCACUGAUCCUCCCACCUAGACUAAGCUCGGUGAGGUGAAGGUCAUGUCCACUGCCUCCUCCUCUUCCUCCUGCAUGUGGCUGGCAGCAGAUGCUCCAAGUCGACUGUGUUAAGUAAGCCCGAGUCGCUGCCGGAGCUGACAUGGGAGCCCGACCGGACCUCUCAUCAGUGACCUCUCCAACCCUCCACCUUCAUCUUGGAACUUGGAGACUACUGCCCAGAGUGCCAGUCAUCCCACGACUCCUGCCCAUAAGUGACUGCUCUGAGAUCCGUCUCUCCAAGUGGUAACAGAGAUUUUGGACUCUGGACUUUGAACCUUGACUUUUCAUGACCAUGAUAGGAACCUUGAGAAUGGAGCACACAUAUUUCACCCUUAGCCAUGAGUAAACGUUUAGAUUGAUUAUUCUUUAUGCUUUGUUUGUGUUAUACUUAUUACCAUUGUUGGAUAUUGUUAGAUUGUUUUACUCCUAGAUGUGUGUUAUGACCUGUGGGCUAAUAACAGAUUGUGUGGUAUUGACCUUUAGAUAUGUGCAUUGAAUAAAUACAUUGAGUGGUAUUUAGCAAUAAAUUAUAUUGAAAAGCC